rnacentral:rRNA from 1 species
CGGAUGAUGAAGAAGCUUGCUUCUUCUGAUUUUAGCGGCGGACGGGUGAGUAACACGUGGGCAACCUACCUUGUAGAUUGGGAUAACUCCGGGAAACCGGGGCUAAUACCGAAUAAACCAUUUUGCUUCAUGGCAAGAUGUUGAAAGGCGGCUUCGGCUGUCACUACUAGAUGGGCCCGCGGCGUAUUAGCUAGUUGGUAGGGUAAUGGCCUACCAAGGCGACGAUACGUAGCCGACCUGAGAGGGUGAUCGGCCACACUGGGACUGAGACACGGCCCAGACUCCUACGGGAGGCAGCAGUAGGGAAUCUUCCACAAUGGACGAAAGUCUGAUGGAGCAACGCCGCGUGAGUGAAGAAGGUUUUCGGAUCGUAAAACUCUGUUGUAAGGGAAGAACACGUACGAGAGUAACUGCUCGUACCUUGACGGUACCUUAUUAGAAAGCCACGGCUAACUACGUGCCAGCAGCCGCGGUAAUACGUAGGUGGCAAGCGUUGUCCGGAAUUAUUGGGCGUAAAGCGCGCGCAGGCGGUUCUUUAAGUCUGAUGUGAAAGCCCACGGCUCAACCGUGGAGGGUCAUUGGAAACUGGAGAACUUGAGUACAGAAGAGGAAAGCGGAAUUCCACGUGUAGCGGUGAAAUGCGUAGAGAUGUGGAGGAACACCAGUGGCGAAGGCGGCUUUCUGGUCUGUAACUGACGCUGAGGCGCGAAAGCGUGGGGAGCAAACAGGAUUAGAUACCC